ACAACAACAAUAACAAGCAGCACAUAAAAUAAUAAAAAUAAGAUUCAUCGGCUCCAGCCCAAUAAAAACAAUAACGCGGAGGCGCAGCUAACUGAUUCUUUUGGAAAGGAUGUGUGUUUGGGGUUCGCCCCGAAACCGGGCAGAGAACAAUAAAACUGCACUAAUGCAGCGCCAGAACCGGUUGGAUCACUCUGUGAUCAAUGCAAUAUCAGCGUCCAAAGCAAUCCGUUUGCUCCUGAUUCCCAACUUGGGAAUUUUUAUAAACAUCCUUGACCGGAUGGAACGGGUAACCAAACAAAAACAACAAGCCCGAAAUAACAAUAAAAAAAGAGCACGCACCAAUUUGGGGGGGAGCUUCGGCUCCCCCAGUAGCUUCCAGAAUCUCCCCUCCUGCAGCACUCUC
rnacentral:sRNA from 1 species